GAAGUAUCAGGCAGAUGCUAGGCAAUAUAAAACCUUUAGACAGUCAUGAGCUAAUGCUUUAGUGGGUGUUAAUCAGCAAUCAGUCCAUCUCAUCUUCAUGUAAAAUGGUCAGCAAAGUGAAGGAGCAGGGGGCUGAGGAGCAAUCUGUGACUUGGGAUUUACGUUCUAGGAGUCAGCAGGCUGGUGCCGUUAUUCUGAUGGUGGCUCCUGUCAGAGCGGCCAGCGUGGCCCAGAGCUCCUGGUUCAUGCCAAAUGUCAAGCCUGAUGAUGGAGGAGUGGGCACACAGUCCAACCUAUACACAAUAUUACUCCUAAAAUCUGCCUCCUUUAAAUACCUGCCGUGCUGCUGAGCCCAUUGAAACUGCCCAGGAGCAGAG
ensembl:lncRNA